GAUGAAGAACGUAGUGAAAUGCGAUAAGUAAUGUGAAUUGCAGAAUUCAGUGAAUCAUCGAAUCUUUGAACGCACCUUGCGCCCUUUGGCUAUUCCGAAGGGCAUGCCUGUUUGAGUAUCGUGAACACCUCAACUCUCAUGGUUUGCCAUGAUGAGCUUGGACUUUGGGGGAUUUGCUGGCCUUUGGUCGGCUCCUCUCAAACGGAUCAGCUUUCCAGUGUUUGGUGGCAUCACGGGUGUGAUAACUAUCUACGCCUGUGGUUUUCUGCCAGAUAACCUUCAGCGAUGGAGGUUCGCUGGGGCUCAUAAAUGUCUCUCUUCAGUGGAGACAGCUUUUUGGACGUUUGAUCUCAAAUCAGGUAGGACUACCCGCUGAACUUAAGCAUAUCAAUAAGCGGAGGA
rnacentral:misc_RNA from 1 species